GACGAACGCUGGCGGCGUGCUUAACACAUGCAAGUCGAGCGGUAAGGCCCCUUUGGGGGUACACGAGCGGCGAACGGGUGAGUAACACGUGGGUGACCUGCCCUCAGCUCUGGGAUAAGCCUGGGAAACUGGGUCUAAUACCGGAUAUGACUCCAUGACGCAUGUUGUGGGGUGGAAAGCCUUGUGCGGCUGGGGAUGGGCCCGCGGCCUAUCAGCUUGUUGGUGGGGUGAUGGCCUACCAAGGCGACGACGGGUAGCCGGCCUGAGAGGGCGACCGGCCACACUGGGACUGAGACACGGCCCAGACUCCUACGGGAGGGCAGCAGUGGGGAAUCUUGCGCAAUGGGCGAAAGCCUGACGCAGCGACGCCGCGUGAGGGAUGACGGCCUCGGUGUAACU
rnacentral:rRNA from 1 species